AUAUGCAAUGGAGGUUGUACAUAUGGCAUAGAUAAUGUUCCAGGCUAACCUGUUGUACAUUGCUUUAUAUGUUUUACAAGCAGUUGCUUAUUGUCCAACCACUACUUCCUUUUUCAAGAGAGAAGGGGAGACAUGCCAUAGUAAACCCUAGCUCCACCCUUCCACCGCUUCGACGCCGCGCUGGUGUCACAGUCACUAUCAACGUUUCAACCCCAACAGUGGCAACGACAAGAAGGGAUUUGAGGGUUUAGAACUGAUUUGAGGGAUUUGAGGGUUUAGCACUGAUUUGAGGGAUUUGAGGUUCCGCAAAAAGAGGCGAAAGGAAGAAAGAGAGAGAGAGAGUGGAAUCGGAAUUGGUUUUCCGGCGUAUAGGGUUUCGAUUAUGAGCUAAAGACCGAGCUUUGCCAUCUCAAUUCUUAAAGACCAGGUUAAGGAUGAAGUAGUAUUUUACAAGUAGUAUAAGCAAGGGUACAUGUUGGGAAGUUAAUUGCUAUAGUUUUUUGUUGAAAACAAACUCAUGAAAAUUUUGCUGAUCAACUGGAACUUGGAGCUGGAUACUUAAUGGGUCAACAAGGAGCUUGGGAGUGUCUCAAGUACAUCCCACAUUGGUCAACGGAAAGCUCAUCAUAGCUUUGGCUUUGUUGAUGGCCUACCGUUUACCCUAAAAAGGCUAUCUGAGGUGAAUGUGCUAUUAUUUGUUAAUCGUUGUUUGAUUCAUCUUUUUCCUUAAACCACAUGCUACCUUUUAAUUUGGUGUGAAUUCUUGUAUUUAAUUUGGCAUGGACGUGGAAGCAACCGAGAAACCAUCAGAAUCAAGUUCCCGGAGGACAACAGGCGAUUCUUACGUCUUUAUUAUCAUAUUUUUUGAAAUUAUCAUCAAAUGUUACUGUAAGAGGUAAAAUGCCAAUUUGGUGACACUUGAGAUCAUACAUUUAGAGCAUGUAAUGUGAAUUCAUUGUGUGAUUUAGUAUGAGAAAAUCGUCAUUAUUUACUGUUGCCU